rnacentral:rRNA from 1 species
CCUACGGUCGCAGCAUUGGGGCAUAUUGGACAAUGGGCGAAAGCCUGAUCCAGCCAUGCCGCGUGUGUGAAGAAGGCCUUCGGGUUGUAAAGCACUUUCAGUGGGGAAGAAAGCCUUGGGGCUAAUACCCUCGAGGAAGGACAUCACCCACAGAAGAAGCACCGGCUAACUCCGUGCCAGCAGCCGCGGUAAUACGGAGGGUGCGAGCGUUAAUCGGAAUUACUGGGCGUAAAGCGCGCGUAGGCGGUCUGAUAAGCCGGUUGUGAAAGCCCCGGGCUCAACCUGGGAACGGCAUCCGGAACUGUCAGGCUAGAGUGAAGGAGAGGAAGGUAGAAUUCCCGGUGUAGCGGUGAAAUGCGUAGAGAUCGGGAGGAAUACCAGUGGCGAAGGCGGCCUUCUGGACUGACACUGACGCUGAGGUGCGAAAGCGUGGGUAGCAAACAGGAUUAGAUACCCCGGUAGUC